rnacentral:siRNA from 1 species
UUGGGUACACAAAUAAACA